rnacentral:rRNA from 1 species
GACAGAGGGUGCAAACGUUGUUCGGAAUUACUGGGCGUAAAGCGCGUGUAGGCGGCUCUGCAAGUCGGAUGUGAAAGCCCUCGGCUCAACCGGGGAAGUGCACCCGAAACUGCAAAGCUAGAGUCUCGGAGAGGAUCGUGGAAUUCUCGGUGUAGAGGUGAAAUUCGUAGAUAUCGAGAGGAACACCGGUGGCGAAGGCGGCUAUCUGGACAGAGUCUGACGCUGAGGCGCGAAAGCUAGGGGAGCAAACAGG